rnacentral:rRNA from 1 species
UACGGAGGGGACUAGCGUUGUUCGGAAUUACUGGGCGUAAAGCGCACGUAGGCGGAUUUGUCAGUCAGGGGUGAAAUCCCUGGGCUCAACCCAGGAAGUGCACUCGAAACUGGCAGGCUUGAGUACUGAAGAGGGUCGCGGAAUUCCCGGUGUAGAGGUGAAAUUCGUAGAUAUCGGGAGGAACACCAGUGGCGAAGGCGGCGACCUGGGCAGAUACUGACACUGAGGUGCGAAAGCGUGGGGAGCAACAGG